CAACUCGCAAGUCAGAAACAUUGUGCGGAGAUUGGAAAGUUCUCGAGCACACCAAGACUUUCGAAAAGCUAACGUACGAUAAUGCCCGGGAUGCAUGCCGCAAGAACGUCGGGUUUUUCCUGCCAAGCGAGGCACUAUGGAAUAACGUAUUGAUGGAAAUGAAGACUGGCAAUGCUGAAUGCAGAGAACUUGCCGCAACGUUUGACAAAAUCCCUCUCUGGUUCACAAGGCAUGGGAAAGAAAGAGGUUUUGCAUUGUUUUCAUCGGUUUGUGUGGGAGCACGUCUGCCAGGUGGCGCAGUCUCCAGCCGCGGCAUUCGCCGAGACGAAGGUGUCAACUACAUUGAGGAGAGCGGUAAUGUGAAGUGUCUGGACGGCUACCGGACAUCAUUGCGUGAGAGCAUACCCGCCAGGCCAUAUAAGGGUAUCUGGCAGAACACUGCUGGUUGCUACAAGUAUGUGAGUAAACAAGGGGACAGUCUCAGUCGCUUCAGAGAAGACGGGAGCCCAGCUGGCAC